rnacentral:rRNA from 1 species
GACGAACCGUGCGAACGUUAUUCGGAAUCAUUGGGCUUAAAGCGCGUGUAGGCGGAUUCGUGCGUCUGUCGCUGAAAUCCCCCGGCUCAACCGGGGAACGGGCGCGGAUACGAUGAGUCUGGAGGGGCAUAGGGGGACCUGGAACUUCCGGUGGAGCGGUGAAAUGCGUUGAGAUCGGAAGGAACGCCCGUGGCGAAAGCGAGGUCCUGGAUGCCUACUGACGCUGAGACGCGAAAGCCAGGGGAGCGAACGGG